CUUAAUUGCAGGGACAGCUUGUGUGGUUGGCAGUUGUUUGAAUUGAGAAAUGGACUUUAAGGAACUACGGUUUCUUUGGCUCAGCUGGAAUUUAAGUAGUCAUAGACUAAAUUAACAGCCACGGUCAAAGCCCAGAUGACAGCUGUGUCACAGAAAAGGAAAGGAGCACAAGUAUGAUGGCAAGCCACAUGGAUUAGAGGAACAACCUAGAAAUGGAUAAGUGACAUGACUGAAGGAGCCCAAAUCUCUAGGAGCAGCCUGUGGGGACUAUCUGGAGCUACAAGAUGGAAUAUUAGCCUCGAUUUUAUGAAUAAGACACAAGAGGACUAUGUCACCCUGUGGCAAGAGAGACUUUGCAAAUGUGGUUAAAUAAAGCAGUUGAGAUGCGGAGAUGAUCUUGGAUUAUCCGAGUGCAUCUGAUGUAAUUACAACGGUUCUUAUGAGAGAAAAAAGGAGGUGGGAGAAACUGAGGAGAUGUGACAGUUGAAGCAGAGAUCAGAGUGAGGUGGAGACCAAGGGCUGAGUAAUGGGGGCUGCGUGUGAAUACCAGAAAAGCAAGAAGACAGAUUGCCUCUUAGAGCUUCCGGGAGGAAUACAGCCCUACCGAUUUCUUUUGGACUUCUGACCUCCGGAAUCAAAGAUAAUAACUUUGUGUUGUUUUAAACCAUAAAUUUGUGGUAAUUUGUCACAGUAUCAAUAGAAAACUAAUAUAAUCAUCAUUUUAAAUUGUUGCCUGUUGGUUGGGAGUAGUGGCUCACUCCUGUAAUCCCAGUGGUUUGGGAGGCCACGGUGGGAGGACCCCUUGAGGCUGGGUGUCCAAGACCAGCCUGCGCAACAUACCAAGACCCCAUCUCUACACAAAAUAUAAAUAAAUUAGCCAGGCAUGGUGGUGUGCACCUGCAGUCUCAGCUAUGUAGGAGGUUUGCUUGAGCCCAGGAGUCUGAGGUUACAGUGAGUUGUGGUUGUACCACUGCACUCCAGCCUGGGCAACAGGCUGUCUCUUAAAAAAACUUGUUGUCUAUUAUUUUCAUAAGGAACCAUAAUUUCCCAAUCACUUAUUUGCUUGGAAAGAGCAAACAUCUUGAAACAGCAAUUGAAUCCAUUUAGCCAAGUCUGUGUGUGAAGGUUUGGUUCCUGAUUGCAGAGGGUGACCAACUUCCAUGAAGCCAGCCAUCAGGGUGGUCUGGGGCCAUGUCCACUGACACUACCAUCUUGUUCUCCUCUCUAAAGAAAGCUUAACGUUGAACAGUACUAGACAGCAGUUUGUCCACCACUGCAAACAAACCUCAUUGUUGUCUCAGGCAUCACUACUCAAGUAACACAGCUGGGCAGUCACAAGCCCUGAGUACAGAAACCCUAUUUUCUGAAUGAAGCACUGGGACACAGAAUAUUUGAAAUCAGAACUUUUGGGACAUCUGGAACCUAUUGUUGUCAUACGUCUGAGUCAGUGAGGGAUAGUUCAUAAUCCCCUUAACUGGUGGAUAACACCGUAAGCACUUCAGAGAGCAGAACUUCAUGUGCCUGCCUUCUUGAUUAAUGAGCGAGAAACAAUCCCAAAUAAUUGCUUGUUGAAGCACUAGAAGUUUCCAUCUUGCCUCUCAAAGUUAGCCUGAAUCCAAACAGAUGGAAGCACAGUAGCAGUGGCUAUGAUGGCCAUGGAGAGAGACUUGUAAACAAAAG
rnacentral:lncRNA from 1 species